rnacentral:lncRNA from 1 species
GUGAAUUUAGAGGUCGAAAGACGACCUUCCUCUUCACCAUCUUUCUGACCUCCGAUUGGAGUUCCUCUGGCCGCUUCACCGCAGGCUCUGGCUUCCUUUUCUCCAGGUACCUUUCUAUGGAGAGAUUAUGGACGUUUGCUGGUGAUGGUGGAUGGCGUGUGAGGCUCAGCUUAAGCACUUUUGGACUAACUCUGAAAACAAGAACCUGUACUGUCUGCGCAGGAAGUCUCUGUGAUGACCAGGUCUCACCGUCCAGAUCUGCAGGCAGCUCAGCCUUCAGAACCGUGACAGAGCCAAGUGAUUGUUGGGAGCAGAGGAAUGGGAGAAAGCCAGAAAUCCAUUGAAAGAUACUUUUAAUCCACUUAGGAAUACUUACGUAAAUACAUCUUGAAAACUUAAACUGGAAAUAAGCUUACACCAGAAUGAAACCAGUAGGCUGUGCAGGGGCUGGCUGUGGUCAGGACUCAGCAGGUGAAGGUGCCUGCUGCCCAGCCUGAUGAUCCGAGUCCACUUUCUGGAAUCUCCAUGGUUGACUGCCUCCAAGAGGUACAGUAUACACUUAUCAAGUAAUGGUACGGUUUACUGCUUAGCUAGCCAAUCCUGGAGCCCUGGAUAAUGUGUGCACUGGGAGGAGUCCUGACAGGUGACUUGCCCAAAGUCACAUGGCACAUGUUUUAGAUCUGUCCUUUGUUGAGGGCUAUGGUGCUCUGGCCACCCUGUAAUGUAAUGGCCACUCUGUUGCAU